AUUGAACGCUGGCGGCAUGCCUUACACAUGCAAGUCGAACGGCAGCACGGGGCAACCUGGUGGCGAGUGGCGAACGGGUGAGUAAUGCAUCGGAACGUACCUUUCAGUGGGGGAUAACGUAGCGAAAGUUACGCUAAUACCGCAUAUUCUGUGAGCAGGAAAGCAGGGGAUCGCAAGACCUUGCGCUGAUUGAGCGGCCGAUGUCAGAUUAGCUAGUUGGUGAGGUAAAGGCUCACCAAGGCGACGAUCUGUAGCGGGUCUGAGAGGAUGAUCCGCCACACUGGAGCUGAGACACGGUCCAGACUCCGACGGGAGGCAGCAGUGGGGAAUUUUGAACAAUGGGGGCAACCCUGAUCCAGCCAUGCCGCGUGAGUGAAGAAGGCCUUCGGGUUGUAAAGCUCUUUCGGCCGGGAAGAAAUCGCACGGGCUAAUACCCUGUGUGGAUGACGGUACCGGAAUAAGAAGCACCGGCUAACUACGUGCCAGCAGCCGCCGUAAGAC
rnacentral:rRNA from 1 species